ensembl:lncRNA
AGGAGGGAAGUUAGUGGUCGUGCGAGGUCAGCGUAGUUCUCUAUGAACUGUCGUGAGUAAUUGCACACUCCCAGAAAGCUUUGUAGCUCAGAGAUAUUAGUGGGUGUCUUUAUGUUUUGAAUUGCUUGCCCACAGCUGGACUGUGGUUCGAUGCCACCACGUCCGAUGAGCAAGCCAACGUAGUUUACCUUGGUUUUACACCACUGUCCUUUGUGAAGGGCAAUUUUUGCUCCUGCUGUUGUCAGCUGGUUCAGGACAUGGUCAAUUUCUUUGAGGUGGUCUGCCACAUUUGAGCUUUUCAUAAGGACAUCCACGGAAACAAGGUUGCCUCUGACUCUGGCAUCAGGGCAUGCUUUGUUUAGAAAGAUGUUGAAUUCCGCUGGUGAGUUGGCAUACCCGAAAGGGCACAGUGUGAAGAUGUACUGUCGAUUGCCAAAGGUGAAUGCCAGUUUGUGUUGGUCAUCAGGGUGGACAGGGAUGGUCCAAAAUCCUGAGGUGACGUCCAAUGUGGAAAGGAUCGUUGAGCCUUUGAUUUUGGGAAUCUCUUGGUCCAAUUGAGUCAUAGGCCAUCGCGAUAAGGGAACUUGUUGGUUCAACUUGCGAUAGUCGAUGGUGGGCUGCCAUUUGCCGUUGGGCUUUAGGACUGGCCAUAUUGGUGCAGAGUAGGUGCUGUUACAGGGCUGGAUGACCCCCUUUUCCAGCAUGGAGUCAAUGAUCUCUUGAACCGAUUCGUAUGACGCUAUCGGAAUUUUGUACUGCCUCACGAAUGUGGGUGGCGCAUUUGGAUGUGUUGGGAUGCGCACCGUGUGGAUAUCAGUGAGGCCACAGUCCAGGGAAUCCUUUGUGAAGGAGUGCUGUUCUCUGUGGUUUGUUGGGUCAGGUGGUCGUUGUCUUCUCGUCCGGCUGCUAGUCAGGCUGAAUCUGGUUUCUCUUUCUUUUCCCACUUCUGGUCCUCCUCAUUUUGUUGGACGAACUCUUUUAUCAUCAUCUUCAUCAGUUCUUG